rnacentral:rRNA from 1 species
UACGAAGGGUGCAAGCGUUGUUCGGAAUUACUGGGCGUAAAGGGCUCGUAGGUGGCCAACUAAGUCAGACGUGAAAUCCCCAGGCUCAACUUGGGAACUGCGUCUGAUACUGGAUGGCUUGAAUUCGGGAGAGGGAUGCAGAAUUCCAGGUGUAGCGGUGAAAUGCGUAGAGAUCUGGAGGAACACCCGUGGCGAAGGCGGCUCCCUGGUCCGGUUCUGACGCUGAGACGCGAAAGCGCGGGGAGCGAAACGG